UGUUGUAGUUCAAUGGUAGAGUGCUUGCCUACCAUGUAUGAGCCCCUGGGUUCAUUCCCAGAUUUAAAAG
rnacentral:tRNA from 1 species